UAGGGAAUCUUCGGCAAUGGGGGCAACCCUGACCGUAGCAACGCCGCGUGAGUGAAGAAGGUUUUCGGAUCGUAAAACUCUGUUGUUAGAGAAGAACACGAGUGAGAGUAACUGUUCAUUCGAUGACGGUAUCUAACCAGCAAGUCACGGCUAACUACGUGCCAG
rnacentral:rRNA from 1 species